AUGGGAACGCGAAGAACCUUACCUACUCUUGACAUCCAGAGAACUUAGCAGAGAUGCUUUGGUGCCUUCGGGAACUCUGAGACAGGUGCUGCAUGGCUGUCGUCAGCUCGUGUUGUGAAAUGUUGGGUUAAGUCCCGCAACGAGCGCAACCCUUAUCCUUUGUUGCCAGCGGUCCGGCCGGGAACUCAAAGGAGACUGCCAGUGAUAAACUGGAGGAAGGUGGGGAUGACGUCAAGUCAUCAUGGCCCUUACGAGUAGGGCUACACACGUGCUACAAUGGCGCAUACAAAGAGAAGCGACCUCGCGAGAGCAAGCGGACCUCAUAAAGUGCGUCGUAGUCCGGAUUGGAGUCUGCAACUCGACUCCAUGAAGUCGGAAUCGCUAGUAAUCGUAGAUCAGAAUGCUACGGUGAAUACGUUCCCGGGUCUUGUACACACCG
rnacentral:rRNA from 1 species